rnacentral:rRNA from 1 species
GACGAACGCUGGCGGCGUGCCUAAUACAUGCAAGUCGAACGCAGUGGGGACGGGUGAGUAACACGUGGGUAACCUCCCAUCAGAGGGGAUAACACUUGGCAACAGGUGCUAAACGGCAACUGAGGGAUGGACCCGCGGUGCAUUAGCUAGUUGGUGAGGUAACGGCUCAUUAAGGGCACGAUGCAUAGACGACCUGAGAGGGUGAUCGGCCACGCUGUGACUGAGACACGGCCCAGACUCCUACGGUAGGCAGCAGUAGGGAAGCUUCGGCAAUUGGCGAAAGUCUGACCGAGCAACGCCGCGUGAGUGAAGAAGGUUUUCGGAUCGUAAAACUCUGUUGGUAGAGAAGCGGUAUCUAACCAGAAAGCCACGGCUAACUACGUGCCAGCAGCCGCGGUAAUUC